rnacentral:rRNA from 1 species
UACGGAGGGAGCUAGCGUUAUUCGGAAUUACUGGGCGUAAAGCGCACGUAGGCGGCUUUGUAAGUAAGAGGUGAAAGCCUGGUGCUCAACACCAGAACUGCCUUUUAGACUGCAUCGCUUGAAUCCAGGAGAGGUGAGUGGAAUUCCGAGUGUAGAGGUGAAAUUCGUAGAUAUUCGGAAGAACAUCAGUGGCGAAGGCGACUGACUGGACAAGUAUUGACGCUGAGGUGCGAAAGCGUGGGGAGCAAACAGG